UGUGAGCUCGAUGAGUAGGGCGGGACACGUGGUAUCCUGUCUGAAUAUGGGGGGACCAUCCUCCAAGGCUAAAUACUCCUGACUGACCGAUAGUGAACCAGUACCGUGAGGGAAAGGCGAAAAGAACCCCGGCGAGGGGAGUGAAAAAGAACCUGAAACCGUGUACGUACAAGCAGUGGGAGCACGCUUAGGCGUGUGACUGCGUACCUUUUGUAUAAUGGGUCAGCGACUUAUAUUCUGUAGCAAGGUUAACCGAAUAGGGGAGCCGAAGGGAAACCGAGUCUUAACUGGGCGUUAAGUUGCAGGGUAUAGACCCGAAACCCGGUGAUCUAGCCAUGGGCAGGUUGAAGGUUGGGUAACACUAACUGGAGGACCGAACCGACUAAUGUUGAAAAAUUAGCGGAUGACUUGUGGCUGGGGGUGAAAGGCCAAUCAAACCGGGAGAUAGCUGGUUCUCCCCGAAAGCUAUUUAGGUAGCGCCUCGUGAAUUCAUCUCCGGGGGUAGAGCACUGUUUCGGCAAGGGGGUCAUCCCGACUUACCAACCCGAUGCAAACUGCGAAUACCGGAGAAUGUUAUCACGGGAGACACACGGCGGGUGCUAACGUCCGUCGUGAAGAGGGAAACAACCCAGACCGCCAGCUAAGGUCCCAAAGUCAUGGUUAAGUGGGAAACGAUGUGGGAAGGCCCAGACAGCCAGGAUGUUGGCUUAGAAGCAGCCAUCAUUUAAAGAAAGCGUAAUAGCUCACUGGUCGAGUCGGCCUGCGCGGAAGAUGUAACGGGGCUAAACCAUGCACCGAAGCUGCGGCAGCGACGCUUAUGCGUUGUUGGGUAGGGGAGCGUUCUGUAAGCCUGCGAAGGUGUGCUGUGAGGCAUGCUGGAGGUAUCAGAAGUGCGAAUGCUGACAUAAGUAACGAUAAAGCGGGUGAAAAGCCCGCUCGCCGGAAGACCAAGGGUUCCUGUCCAACGUUAAUCGGGGCAGGGUGAGUCGACCCCUAAGGCGAGGCCGAAAGGCGUAGUCGAUGGGAAACAGGUUAAUAUUCCUGUACUUGGUGUUACUGCGAAGGGGGGACGGAGAAGGCUAUGUUGGCCGGGCGACGGUUGUCCCGGUUUAAGCGUGUAGGCUGGUUUUCCAGGCAAAUCCGGAAAAUCAAGGCUGAGGCGUGAUGACGAGGCACUACGGUGCUGAAGCAACAAAUGCCCUGCUUCCAGGAAAAGCCUCUAAGCAUCAGGUAACAUCAAAUCGUACCCCAAACCGACACAGGUGGUCAGGUAGAGAAUACCAAGGCGCUUGAGAGAACUCGGGUGAAGGAACUAGGCAAAAUGGUGCCGUAACUUCGGGAGAAGGCACGCUGAUAUGUAGGUGAAGUCCCUCGCGGAUGGAGCUGAAAUCAGUCGAAGAUACCAGCUGGCUGCAACUGUUUAUUAAAAACACAGCACUGUGCAAACACGAAAGUGGACGUAUACGGUGUGACGCCUGCCCGGUGCCGGAAGGUUAAUUGAUGGGGUUAGCGCAAGCGAAGCUCUUGAUCGAAGCCCCGGUAAACGGCGGCCGUAACUAUAACGGUCCUAAGGUAGCGAAAUUCCUUGUCGGGUAAGUUCCGACCUGCACGAAUGGCGUAAUGAUGGCCAGGCUGUCUCCACCCGAGACUCAGUGAAAUUGAACUCGCUGUGAAGAUGCAGUGUACCCGCGGCAAGACGGAAAGACCCCGUGAACCUUUACUAUAGCUUGACACUGAACAUUGAGCCUUGAUGUGUAGGAUAGGUGGGAGGCUUUGAAGUGUGGACGCCAGUCUGCAUGGAGCCGACCUUGAAAUACCACCCUUUAAUGUUUGAUGUUCUAACGUUGACCCGUGAUCCGGGUUGCGGACAGUGUCUGGUGGGUAGUUUGACUGGGGCGGUCUCCUCCUAAAGAGUAACGGAGGAGCACGAAGGUUGGCUAAUCCUGGUCGGACAUCAGGAGGUUAGUGCAAUGGCAUAAGCCAGCUUGACUGCGAGCGUGACGGCGCGAGCAGGUGCGAAAGCAGGUCAUAGUGAUCCGGUGGUUCUGAAUGGAAGGGCCAUCGCUCAACGGAUAAAAGGUACUCCGGGGAUAACAGGCUGAUACCGCCCAAGAGUUCAUAUCGACGGCGGUGUUUGGCACCUCGAUGUCGGCUCAUCACAUCCUGGGGCUGAAGUAGGUCCCAAGGGUAUGGCUGUUCGCCAUUUAAAGUGGUACGCGAGCUGGGUUUAGAACGUCGUGAGACAGUUCGGUCCCUAUCUGCCGUGGGCGCUGGAGAACUGAGGGGGGCUGCUCCUAGUACGAGAGGACCGGAGUGGACGCAUCACUGGUGUUCGGGUUGUCAUGCCAAUGGCACUGCCCGGUAGCUAAAUGCGGAAGAGAUAAGUGCUGAAAGCAUCUAAGCACGAAACUUGCCCCGAGAUGAGUUCUCCCUGACUCCUUGAGAGUCCUGAAGGAACGUUGAAGACGACGACGUUGAUAGGCCGGGUGUGUAAGCGCAGCGAUGCGUUGAGCUAACCGGUACUAAUGAACCGUGAGGCUUAACCUU
rnacentral:rRNA from 1 species